GGUAGGGCUUCACACGUCAUACAAUGGUCGGUACAGAGGGUUGCCAACCCGCGAGGGGGAGCCAAUCCCAGAAACCGAUCGUAGUCCGGAUUGCAGUCUGCAACUCGACUGCAUGAAGUCGGAAUCGCUAGUAAUCGCGGAUCAGCAUGUCGCGGUGAAUACGUUCCCGGGCCUU
rnacentral:rRNA from 1 species